rnacentral:rRNA from 1 species
GAGUUUGAUCGUGGCUCAGGAUGAACGCUAGCGGCAGGCUUAACACAUGCAAGUCGAGGGGUAGAGUAGCAAUACUUGAGACCGGCGCACGGGUGCGUAACGCGUAUGCAACCUACCUUUUACAGAGGGAUAGCCCAGAGAAAUUUGGAUUAAUACCUCAUAGUAUAUGUCUUUCGCAUGUUAGACAUAUUAAAGUUCCAACGGUAAAGAUGGCAUGCGUCCUAUUAGCUAGAUGGUAAGGUAACGGCUUACCAUGGCAACGAUAGGUAGGGGUCCUGAGAGGGAGAUCCCCCACACUGGUACUGAGACACGGACCAGACUCCUACGGGAGGCAGCAGUGAGGAAUAUUGGACAAUGGGCGCAAGCCUGAUCCAGCCAUGCCGCGUGCAGGAAGACGGUCCUAUGGAUUGUAAACUGCUUUUUGUACGGGAAGAAACACUACCUCGUGAGGGAGCUUGACGGUACCGUAAGAAUAAGGAUCGGCUAAACUCCGUGCCAGCCG